CCUACGGGUGACAGCAGUGAGGAAUAUUGGUCAAUGGCCGCAGGGCUGAACCAGCCAAGUCGCGUGAGGGAUGACGGUCCUAUGGAUUGUAAACCUCUUUUGUCAGGGAGCAAAGGGCGCCACGUGUGGCGUUUUGCGAGUACCUGAAGAAAAAGCAUCGGCUAACUCCGUGCCAGCAGCCGCGGUAAUACGGAGGAUGCGAGCGUUAUCCGGAUUUAUUGGGUUUAAAGGGUGCGCAGGCGGAAUGUCAAGUCAGCGGUAAAAUUUCGGGGCUCAACCCCGUCGUGCCGUUGAAACUGGCGUUCUUGAGUGAGCGAGAAGUAUGCGGAAUGCGUGGUGUAGCGGUGAAAUGCAUAGAUAUCACGCAGAACUCCGAUUGCGAAGGCAGCAUACCAAUCUAUAUCUGACGUUGAGGCACGAAAGCGUGGGGAGCAAACAGGAUUAGAUACCCGAGUAGUC
rnacentral:rRNA from 1 species